UUUUUUUGAACGAAUCUUGUUUCUCUCUCCUUUUUUGCCUAAACAGUUGAUCUCUAACAACCUCUAAAAAAAUUCUCCAACAAUCUCUAACAACCUCUAAAAAUUCUCCUCCUUUUGUUUUUCAUAUCAUUCCCCUUUUUAUAGGUUUUCUAGUUAGUUAGUAGAUGGGAGAGUUUUUUUUUUUUUAGUGGGUUAGUGGGUUAAUGGGAGAGAUUUUAGUGGGUUAGUGGGAAGGUGGGAAGGCUUUUUUUUUUAUAUAUUAUUAUUUUUUGACGUGGGGGUGAAUGGGAAGUUAGGAUUUUUUUUUUUGUGUGGCUCACACAAGAGAUAUGAUUAUCAUGUAUUCAUAUUUAUGAGAGAGAUGGUGGGACCCACAUCUCUAACUAACCACUUUUUUUUCCUCUUCUUUUGUUGUGCCACCCCCCUAGCGUACCGGCCUUUCUUUUUUUUUUUUCUUUUUUUUUUUAUAUGAGGUAAGGAGAAUAAUAAUAAUAAUAAUAAUAAUAAUAAUGGGGAUAAAUUUGUGGUGGAUCUAUAUUCGGGCUUAGGUUCGGAUGCAAACUGGACUUGAAUUGAAUCGAUUUAGCCACAUUUGAAUUUCAAAAUUUAAAUUUAUUACAUCCUCCUCUUUUCUUAUUAUUACACAAACAAAUGCCCCCACCUUUUUUUUAGCUUGCUGAUUGUGCAAGAAAGGAAAAAAGGUACUAUUCGUACUAGGCCUAUGAACUUCACAUCAUAAAAUUUGUCAUGUCUUUUUUCUGAAGCUAAGCUCGGAUUGUAAGUAUUUCACCUUCUCUUUUCUUUCCUUUUUAUAGCAAAUAUAUGAUAAUGCUAUCAUAUCAUGUAUUCAUUUUAUUUUAUUUUAUUUUUAUGUCUUCACGUAGAAGAUGGAGCACCUGAUUCAUCCUGAUGACAAAAUCUUAGGCAUGGCAAGAGGUAUUUCUCUAGUUCGGGCUUCUUCAAUUCAUAAUAGUAGAACGGAUCCAAUUAUUCCUUACAAUAGACCCGUGUUUAAGGAAUGGGCGGUUUUUAAGCAAAAACAACCCUUAGGUCGUUUUGGUCCUCAUUAUUACACACCUGACGGUAAGGAAGAUGUCGUACUUUUUCCACCUUUAGGUUUACCCAAAGAGAGGGAUACAUUGGAAUCUUUAUGUUACAAAAUAUUGAAUGGUCAUCCAAGCUGCGGGGGGUAAAGAUAGGCCACUGGGAGAUAGUGAAGAUAUUGAUGGUUUUGAGAGUUAGGCUGAUUAUAUUUUGUCACGAUAUACCUCACAAUUACAGGAUGCGGGAAUUUUUGGUGGUAUAGUUGCUUCACGAGGAAAGUAUCAUAAAAACAUGAACAUUAUUAAAGCACUCGUAGAGUUGUGGUGUUCAGAAACGAAUACAUUUCAUUUGCCAUACGGAGAAGUUGGAAUUUCCUUGUGGGAGAUUAAAGAACUAAGUGGUCUUCCUAUUACGGGUCAUCUAUACGAUGAAUAUAUUCCUAUGAAUUCGGAAUUAUAUAAUAAAAAUGCUUAUCCAGACUGUCUUAGAGAGCUUUUUGAUGUAUAUCAAUGGAUUAUGACUCGAUCGUCUUGCAAGCGAAUUCGUUAUGAUUUGUGGGUGAACUUCUUCCAUCCAAGUGCAAAGAGAUCGCGUUCCUCCAGGUACAAGGACAUCAAUGAUAAAAAAUUCACACCUUCAUACACAGAAGACACAACUAGAGCUGCUUUUAUUUCUUUAUGGUUAUGCAAUUUUGUGAUGCCCUCAAGUUCAGAUCAUUUUAUUAGACCCGAAGUAUUCGUUAUGGCUUCUAAGCUAGCAUUAGGCGAGAAAAUUGCUUUGGUUCCUGCUAUUUUAUGUGCAAUUCACAUAGCACUAUCAUAUAUGAGUAAUCACCCAGAUGGUCCUGCACAUCCUGGUCCUCAAUUUCCUGUUAAUUUCUUGUAUGCUUGGAUCGGUUUGCAUUUUGAGCAAACUUAUUCUAGAAAAGCUAUAAGCGAUGACAUUAAAAAUAUUGUUGGUUUGAGGAGUAUUCCACAAAUGAUAUCAUUUAUGAAUGCUGCUGCUUCGCCAUUCAAUGCUAAAAGAGCCAGAAUUCAUCUUAGAUCCAGUGUUCAUUUCAUAUGGCGCCCUUUACCUUAUUCUUAUUCUUUCGUCGAUGGUGGAUGGUUGUAUGAUGCGAAGCUUACAACAGGAGAAUGUCGAUAUCCAACAGAAGUUUAUGAAUAUCUUAUUUCUAUUAGACAGAGUGUUAUUCCGCUUCGUUUAAGGAAUAAACUGCAUGCUCAACCAUACAAUCCUCAUCGAUUUUCACGUCAAUUCGGAUUCGAUCAAUACUUUCCAGAAUUUAUUGAUGUCCCUAGAAUAGCUGAUUCUAUCGGGACUUUGAUCGGGUAUUGGGAUCAUUUCCUUCAGUAUGGAAAUUCGGCUAAUUAUUAUAUACCUAAAGUUGAUCUAGUUGGAAAAGUUCUUUUGCAUUGUGCACGUUGGUGGUCCAACAGUGUUCAUUCAAGCUUUAGACAUGGUGUAGCUUACUUAUUAGAUGCCGAUGAACGUCAAAAGAAGAGAAGAACCGAAGAUGCUCUGAAGAAAGAGAAAGGAACUACUUCAUGAUUUAUCAGCUUUACGCAACACAAGGUGUCGGGUUCCACAACAUCAACCAAAGAACCAAUCGUGGCAUUUCCAUUUCCCCCUUCUUAUGAUCAUAUUCAGGCCAGCUUUCCAGAUAAUACUCCUCAACGUGAAGUACUUGGUCUUAGCUUUCCGAUUCAUAAUGAGGUAUCUUAUUUCUUUUCUUUUCUUUUCUUUUCUCUCUUUUUUUUUUAUUUUAUGGUUCCAAAAUUUUGUCAAGGGUACUUCUAUGGAGGCAUGUACCAACAUAUUUGAAGUUCAUCCGACCAAUAUCGAGACUUUUAAGGUAUUUUAUACCUUUUCUUUUGAACACUUACAUAGAGAAUGUGGACUCAAAAAUGCUCUUUUGCAUAAUAUUGUACAAACUCCUAUGGUAAACUACUUUUUCUUCCCUCUUUUUUUUAAUUGUAUUUUUUUUAUACAGACAUGUAAUAUGGAAUCGUCUUCACAAAACAACAAGGAUCCAUCACCGAACAUCGUAGCUGAUGUAACUCGCAAGAAACUUUCUCUUAAUGUAUCUUCAAUAAUAGGUGAUGUUUUUUUUUUUUUAACAUUCUUUUUAUAUGUGCAUGUGGAAUAGAUCAUACUUAUUUUGAAUAACAUACUGACCAAUAGAAUCACAAACCGGAGGGGCUGGGACCAUGGAGGAUGAUAUAUCUCCGUAUGAUGAUGAAUUGGUUGAUUACAGGUCAACACCUUCGCCACCAAAGUAUAUUGAGGUAACUUUAUUUUUCGGUUAAUCCAUAUGCCUUCUAUUAGUCUUAAACUAAGCAUUUGAUUCUCAGCUAGAGAAGGGGUAAGAUAUAGAUAAUAAUGUGUAAUUUUUCAUUAGAAAUCUGUAGCCGCAAAAAUUUUGUAAAUUGGAGCUAUAACGAAAAUGUUAUGGCCCAUUUACAUUUUGGUCCCUAUAUUUACAAAGCAGUCCCUGCAGCCUCAUUGUCCUUUGAUUUUUGAUGCAAAUCUAUAUUCUCGAUCUUUCUUUUUGGUCCAAAAUUGCUCUCAAGGAAUUCAUGGCUGCAAAAGUGCAUAAGUUAGGAUUACAACGGAAAAGUUGUAGCCCGUUUACAUUUUACUCCCUGUUUUUUUUUUACAAAACAGUCCAUGCAGCAUGUAUCUUCAAUUUUGCUCUGAAUAUCAGCAUAUGGUUCCCCCUUUUUUGUUGCAGGAUCCACUCACAGAUGUUGCAGAUAUUGGAGUGUCUUCUUUCAGUGAAGCUUACCCAACUCAUCAUGAGGUAUGUAUUUGUUUUAAACUUCAUCCAUUGAAGGCUAGAGUAUUUUCCUUUCUUCUUUUUCUUUGUUUUUUUUUUUUUUUUUUAGGUCAAAAUUGUUCUAAGCUUAAUUUCAUAUCACGCUCGUAGUCACAUAUUAAGCGUAUUUACUAUUCUUUUACACCAUAACUCUGUUGUUUAGGAUAAGGGUGCUAAAGAAGAGGAUGAAAGUAUAGUAAAGAAAAGCAAAAAUGAAGUUACAAUAGAAAUGCCUUCACUAGGUAAAAGAGAGCGAGUCAUUGAUAUUUCGACUAUGGAAGCACAUAAGAGAGCUCGUUUGGAGACCAAUUUAAAUUCAACUAGUAAGGCCUCACUUUUUUUCUUCUUGUCAAAGUUUCUUUUAAUACAUGAAAAGGCAGUAUGCCCCAUGAAAGCAUCCCGUAUAUUAUCUAUAUAUUUUUUGUUGUCUCUCUCCUUUUUUUUUUUUCAUUUUUGUGCACAGGUUUUCCGGUAGAGUCAAAAGCGAAUAAUGAUCCGGAAGAUGCUUUAUCACCUUACGGUGACGAAGUGGACUACGAGCCUACACCUUCACCACCUGAACCUUUUAAAAAUAAUGAUAUGGUGAAAUUUUAUAUAUUCAUAUAUUUCUUCUUCUCAUUUUCUUUCCCUUUUUUUAUUCUUUUCUUCUCUUUCUCUCUUUUUUUUUUUUUAUAGGAUGUACCAUUUGACGAGAAUGUCGACAUUCGCUUAGAUAGUGGCGCAAGAGAUUUCCGAAGCGAGACACCUAUUAUAGCCAAGUCAUUUUUGAUCGAUCGCAUAAUGGAUACCAUGAAGACAUUCAAUUGUCGCAAAUUUAGGUCGGCUCGAGAAGAAGUAUCAAAUAUUGCCAAUGCUUAUCUGCACUCGGGAUCGAUACGUCUGAAUUGGAAAGGCGCGUAAAACCUAUAUUUGACCAUGCAGAGGUCAUUGAAGAACAGGAAUCAAGUCCAAAUUUUAUUUCAGCUGUUCGACUCAUGAAUGCUGAUGAGAAUCUGGCACUAAGAAAAAGAAAACUUGCUUCCCACAUUAGUACAAAAAGUUCUCUCCUUUAAGCUACUGGAAGUGUCUCUUUAGAGCUUCAACAAACCAGAGAGAAAAUAAGAGAAUUAGAAGAGAGUAUAUUGCAUUUGAAAAGUACAGAAGCGGAAUUGACACUUAGACUCGAAGUGGCUGAUGACUCCUUAAAGAAACUAACACCGACUGAAGAAGAACUGCAAAAGGAUGUCAUUGAUGCAGAAAAGGAGCAUGCUGCAGCCAUUGAAGGUUGUAAUGAUUCUAAAGAAUCCACUGGUCUUCGAGAAUUAAUAGAACUGUUUGAGGAGCGUCGUCAAAUAUUUGAAAUUUGACUUCUUCUUUUCUUCUCUUUGUUAUUUUUGUUUGUCACGAAUGUUAUUUUUGUUUGUCACUAAUAAGAAACAAUAUUUUGUAGUCUCAAUAGUUUGAAUGCUUUGGAUUAUGCUUGGGUAAUAUUGAUCAAGUUCAUAAGUAUUUGAUCUCCUCAUUUUUUAUAUUGUGUUACACUGUGACAAUGGUUAUCUUGUGAGAAUGAAUUUGUUUUGUUUAUUUUGCCUCGAUAAGCAACUAAAAUCACCGCGCAUAACCAACUCUAAAUUGGGUUAGCAUUCUGUCAUUUAAAUAAAUUUUAGCUAGAUACUCUCUCCCAACUUUUAUUUAUGAGUCUCGAGAAAUUUUCUCAAAACAAAGAUCCUUAAUUUGGCACAGCUAACAUUUCAUAUUUUUAUCCCCGAAGUCCGAUGUUAAAAAUCAAGUAUGUUUGUGGCUCAAGUCCGUUAAUGGACUAAUUAAAGACACGGUCAAUCGAAAUUAAAAUGGCGGUCAAUUGGAAAAUAGAUAUGAUUUUAGCAACGUGAUAGAUUUCCACUAGAUAUCUCCCCUAAUUUUUGCCUAGGGUUCUCAAAAGUUUUCCCACCAUCUCUUUUUUUUUUUUAACAUAAUAUUUCUUUAGGAAAUGACCAUUGAUAGGUGGCAUCGGUCUUUCACCUUUGACGUUAAUUAAUUGAUAGGCACCGCUUUCAUAAACUUUCUCCACUACAUAUGGGCCUUCCCAAUUUGGAUCAAACUUCUUUCCAGUGUGUUUAUUGAUUAUAAUCGAUCUACGAAGAAUGAGCACCAACUCCCCAACACUAAAGGUGCAGUACCGGGUGAGCUUAUUAUAUGCUCUUACCAUCUGGGUUUGGUAGAGUUCCAAAUUCUGUUGGGGAGUUAACCCGACUUCAUCUAAUGUAUCUAGCUCAUCAAGUCUGAGUAAAGCAUUUUCUUCAUUUGUUAAUUCAUGUUGAACUGCUAUUCGCAAUGAGGGCAAUUCAACUACUAAUGGUAAUACUGCCUUAGUGCCAAACACCAAAGAGUAGGGUGUUGCUUGAGUUGGCGUUCUAUAUGUGGUUCGAUAGGCCCAAAGAGCUUCUAUGAUUCGCAUAUGCCGUUCUUUUUGAUUUUUGCCAAUGAUUUUCUUUAAUAGUUUUAUCAAAGUCUUUUUAAAGGUUUCAGCCAAUCCAUUAGCCCUUACAUUAUAUAUUGAAGAAUACCGCCAAUCAAUUUUUUGUUGAGUAGCAAAUCUAUUGACUUUGAAACUCUUGAAGGCAGUUCCAUUAUCAGAUAUAAUUCGUCUUGGAACUCCAAAUCGAUAUAGAAUAUUUUCUUUAAAGAAUUUGACAACAUCAUCUGCUUUUACCUCUCUCAGUGGGAUUGCCUCAACCUAUCUAGAAAAAUAAUCUGUAGCAGCAAGAAUAAACUUAUGCCCCCUGGAAGACGGUAGAUUGAUAGGCCCAUCACAUCUGUUCCCCACAUAUCAAAUGGCCAUGAGGCGAUUGUAGGAUGCAAGGGGUUUGGAUGUUGAUGAAUGAAGUCACCGUGGAUUUGACAUUGAUGGCAUUUUCUAGCAUACAUUAUACAAUCUUGUAUCAUUGUUGGCCAAUAAUAUCCCAAAUGUUUAAUUUUGAGGCGCAUUUUUGGCCCUGAUUGGUGUGCUCCGCAAACACCCGAAUGAACUUCAUGCAUGACUUGUUUAAUCUCAUUUGGUGAUAAACAUUUAAGCCAUAACUGAUCAUAAGAUCUACGAUAAAGUUGAUUAUUAACGAAUACAUAUCUCAUUGCUCUUUUCUUAAUUUGUGCUUGUUUUGACUUUUCUUCUGGCAGUUUAUUAUAUUUGAGAAAAUCGAAGUUUAUUAUAUUUGAGAAAAUCGAUGAACGGUUCUCUCCAAUCAUCUUCUAUAUCGAUAUUUGCAACUUCAGCCUCAUUCGUAUCUUUUUCUUGAUUUAAGUCAGCCAGGGAUAAUAUUUUUCAAUUCCGUAUAAUUAUUUGGACCUCAUUCAUGGUGGGAUCAGCAAGCUCUUUAGCCAAUCUAGCUAGGGCAUCGGCUUUUCCAUUUAUAGCCCUGGACACUUUUUCCAUUUUUAUACAUGGGAUUUUCUUCAUAAGAUAUUUUACUUUUGUUUGAUAUUCGACCAACUCAGGUUUAUGUACUUUAAACUCCCCUUCAACUUGGUUGAUGAUUAAUUGGGAGUCUCCAUAGAUAUGCAAUUUUUGUAUGUUCAACUGGAAUGCAAUUUCCAAACCAGCAACAAGGGCUUCAUACUCAGCCUCAUUAUUUGUGCGAGGUUCAGAAAGAGCUAAUGAGUAUCUUAAAAUGCCUCCUUCAGGUGUUACAAAGAUUAACCCUAUCCCAGCCUUAAUCUUAGGGAUAUUUGGACUGAAAGCUGGUUGAAUUGAGGAUGCACCGUCAAAAUACAUUUUCCAAUAGGGUUGGUCUUCUUCAGUAAACAUGAUAUGCUCAUCGAGCAAAUCACAGAUCAAAGGUGAGUCAUCUGGAAUUGGGUGCGCGGCUAGAAAAUCAGCAAGUGCUUGACCUUUGAUGGCUUUCUGUGGUACAUAAGUAAUGUCAAACUCAAGGAGUAUAACAGCCCACUUCGCCAACCUUCCAGUUAAAACUGGUCUUGUCAUUAAGAAUUUAAGUGGGUCCACCCUCGAAAUUAAAUGGAUUUUAUGUUCCAACAUAUAAUGUCUUAAUUUCUUAACGGCAAAUAUGAGGGCUAGACAGUGCUUUUCAAUUGGUGAGUAAGAAUUUUCUGCCCCCACUAACAUCAUGCUGAGAUAAUAUAGAGCAUUUUCCUUUCCUUCUUCAUUGUUUUGAGCAAGAAGUGCACCCAGCGAUCCUUCAAGUGCAGCGGUGUAUAAAAUUAAUGGCCUACCAUGGAUAGGGGCAGCAAGCACUGGGGGACUUAAUAAAUAUUUCUUAAUGUCGUCAAAUGCUGUUUGACAAUCAUCGUCCCAUAUAAAAGGCGCAUCCUUUUUCACCAAUUUGGAAAACGGUUUAAUUCUGCCAGAUAGAUUUGAUAUAAACCUUCUGAUAAAGGCCAAUCUUCCUUGAAAGGAUCUUAAUUGCUUCAAAUUCUUUGGAGGUGGCAAUUCCAUGAUAGCCUUGAUUUUUGCCGGGUCGAUUUCAAUUCCUCUAUGUCUAACAAUAAACCCGAGGAAUUUGCCUGAAUAAACUCUAAAUGCACAUUUAAGAGGGUUCAUUUUCAGAUUAUAUUUUCUUAAUCUGGUGAAAACUGUUCUCAAGUCUUCAAAAUGAUUUGCUUUAUUCACAGUUUUGACCACCAAGUCAUCAACAUAACACUCAACAACCUUGUGGAGCAAAUCAUCAAAAAUUAUUGUCAUAGCCCUUUGAUAAGUGGCUCNGCCUAGGGGUCUCAAAAGUUUUCCCACCAUCUUUUUUUUUUUUUUUAACAUAAUAUUUUUUUAGGAAACGGCCAUUGAUAGGUGGCAUCGGUCUUUCACCUUUGACGUCAAUUAAUUGAUAGGCACCGCCUUCAUAAACUUUCUCCACUACAUAUGGGCCUUCCCAAUUUGGAUCAAACUUCUUUUCAGUGUGUUUAUUGAUUAUAAUCGGUCUACGAAGAACGAGCACCAACUCCCCAAUACUAAGGGUGCGGUACCGGGUGAGCUUAUUAUAUGCUCUUGCCAUCUGGGCUUGGUAGAGUUCCAAAUUCUGUUGGGCAGUUAACCUGACUUCAUCUAAUGUAUCUAGCUCAUCAAGUCUGAGUAGAGCAUUUUCUUCGUUUGUUAAUUCAUGUUGAACUGCUAUUCGCAAUGAGGGCAAUUCAACUUCUAACGGUAAUACUGCCUCAGUGCCAAACACCAAAGAGUAGGGUGUUGCUUGAGUUGGCGUUCUAUAUGUGGUUCGAUAGGCCCAAAGAGCUUCUAUGAUUCGCAUAUGCCAUUCGUUUUGAUUUUUACCAAUGAUUUUCUUUAAUAGUUUUAUCAAAGUCUUAUUAAAGGCUUCAGCCAAUCCAUUAGCCCUUGCAUUAUAUAUUGAAGAAUACCGCCAAUCAAUUUUGUGUUGAGUAGCAAAUCUAUUGAUUUUGAAACUCUUGAAGGCAGUUCCAUUAUCAGAUAUAAUUCGUCUUGGAACUCCAAAUCGAUAUAGAAUAUUUUCUCUAAAGAAUUUGACAACAUCAUCUGCUUUUACUUCUCUAAGUGGGAUUGCUUCAACCCAUCUAGAAAAAUAAUCUGUAGCAGCAAGAAUAAACUUAUGCCCCCUGGAAGAUGGUGGAUUGAUAGGCCCUAUCACAUCUGUUCCCCACAUAUCAAAUGGCCAUGAGGCGAUUGUAGGAUGCAAGGGGUUUGGAUGUUGAUGAAUGAAGUCACCGUGGAUUUGACAUUGAUGGCAUUUUCUAGCAUACAUCAUACAAUCUUGUAUCAUUGUUGGCCAAUAAUAUCCCAAAUGUUUAAUUUUGAGGCGCAUUUUUGGCCCUGAUUGGUGCGCACCGCAAACGCCCGAAUGAACUUCAUGCAUGACUUGUUUCAUCUCAUUUGGUGAUAAACAUUUAAGCCAUAAUUGAUCAAAAGAUCUGCGAUAAAGUUGAUUAUUAACGAAUACGUAUCUCAUCGCUCUUUUCUUAAUUUGUGCUUGUCUUGACUUUUCUUCUGGCAGUUUAUUAUAUUUGAGAAAAUCGAUGAAAGGUUCUCUCCAAUCAUCUUCUAUAUCGAUAUUUGCAACUUCAGCUUCCUUCGUAUCUUUUUCUUGAUUUAAGUCAGCCGGGGAUAAUAUUUUUCGAUUCCGUAUAAUUAUUUGGACCUCAUCCAUGGUGGGAUCAGCAAGCUCUUUAGCCAGUCUAGCUAGGGCAUCGGCCUUUCCAUUUAUAGCCCUGGACACUUUUUCUAUUUUUAUACAUGGGAUUUUCUUCAUAAGAUAUUUCACUUUUGUUUGAUAUUCGACCAACUCAGGUUUAUGUACUUUAAACUCCCCUUCAACUUGGUUGAUGAUUAAUUGGGAGUCUCCAUAGAUAUGCAAUUUUUGUAUGUUCAACUGGAUGGCAAUUUCUAAACCAGCAAUAAGAGCUUCAUAUUCAGCCUCAUUAUUUGUGCGAGGUUCAGAAAGGGCUAAUGAGUAUCUUAAAAUGCCCCCUUCAGGUGUUACAAAGAUUAACCCUAUCCCGGCCUUAAUCUUAGGGAUAUUUGGACUGAAAGCUGGUUGAAUUGAGGAUGCACCAUCAAAAUACAUUUUCCAAUAGGGUUGGUCUUCUUCAGUAAACAUGAUAUGCUCAUCGGGCAAAUCACAGAUCAAAGGUGAGUCAUCUGGAAUUGGGUGCGCAGCUAGAAAAUCAGCAAGUGCUUGACCUUUGAUGGCUUUCUGUGGUACAUAAGUGAUGUCAAAUUCAAGGAGUAUAACAGCCCACUUUGCCAACCUUCCAGUCAAAACUGGUCUUGUCAUUAAGAAUUUAAGUGGAUCCACCCUCGAAAUUAAAUGGAUUUUAUGUUCCAACAUAUAAUGUCUUAAUUUCUUAACGGCAAAUAUGAGGGCUAGACAGUGCUUUUCAAUUGGUGAGUAAGAAUUUUCUGCCCCCACUAACAUCCUACUGAGAUAAUAUAGAGCAUUUUCCUUUCCUUCUUCAUUGUUUUGAGCAAGAAGUGCACCCAGCGAUCCUUCAAGUGCAGCGGUGUAUAAAAUUAAUGGCCUGCCAUGAAUAGGGGCAGCAAGCACUGGGGGACUUAAUAAAUAUUUCUUAAUGUCUUCAAAUGCCGUUUGACAAUCAUCAUCCCAUAUAAAAGGUGCAUCUUUCUUCACCAAUUUAGAAAAUGGUUUAAUUCUGCCAGAUAAAUUUGAUAUGAAUCUUCUAAUGUAUGCCAAUCUUCCUUGAAAGGACCGCAAUUGCUUCAAAUUCUUUGGGGGAGGCAAUUCUAUGAUAGCCUUAAUUUUUGCUGGGUCGAUUUCAAUUCCUCUAUGUCUCACAAUAAACCCAAGAAAUUUGCCUGAAUAAACUCCAAAUGCACAUUUAAGAGGAUUCAUUUUCAGAUUAUAUUUUCUUAAUCUGGUGAAAACUGUUUUUAAGUCUUCAAAAUGAUUUGCUUUAUUUACAGUUUUGACAACCAAAUCGUCAACAUAACAUUCAACAAUUUUGUGGAGCAAGUCAUCAAAAAUUACUGUCAUAGCCCUUUGAUAAGUGGCUCCUGCAUUUUUUAGACCAAAGGGCAUAACCUUAUAACAGUAUAUGCCAAUUGGAGUUCUAAAGGCGGUGUGUUUUUCGUCCUCAGGCGCCAUCUUUAUCUGGUUAUACCCAGAGGAACCAUCCAUGAAGGAAAACAUCUCGUAACUUGAAGUGUUAUCGAUCAUCAGUUCAGUGACUGGCAGUGGAAAAUCAUCCUUUGGGCAUGCUUUAUUCAGAUCUCGAAAGUCAACGCAUACGCGAAUUUGACCAUUCUUCUUCUUUACUGGGACUAUGCUCGCGAUCCAGUCAGCAUAUUUUUCUUCUCUGAUGAACCCUGCUUCAAUAAGCUUUUUAGUUUCUGUUAUGAUCUGUUCUUCUAAGUCAACUCUUGUCCUCCUUGGAGCUUGUUUAACUGGAACCACGUCUGGGCUAAUGGCAAGUUUAUGAACAGCCACACUCGGAUCUAAGCCGGGCAUUUCUUUAUAUGUCCAAGCAAAACAGUCUUUAUAUUCUAACAACAAUGUUUUCAACAUGUCUUGAUCUUUUUCUGGAAGUAGUGCACUAAUAUAAGUAGGUCUUCGAUCUUCUUCGUUGCCCAAAUUUAUUUCUAAAAGCUCAUCAACAGUGGCUUGCCCCCCAUCUUCAAGCUCUUGUGGAGCAUCUUUUAAUUCCAGAAGCUUUGUUUUUACUGGCUCAGUUGAGAUCGUGUCCUUAUCUUGCUUUAUGUCCUUUAUUGUAAUCAUAGUGCAAGUAUGUCGUAUGACACGUGAAUCAUUAUUGGUUAUCUUGGGCACAUGAGCAGAUUGAUGAUAUCCUAGCCCUUUCAUGUGUACCGUUCGGCCAUUUGGAAGCACGACUCUUUUUUGUGGUGGAUUCCACAUUUUCUGAAAAAAUUUUCGAUUAGCUCGUGACCUUCUUACAGGAAAUCCCGAUCUAUUUAUCAUGUUUUUGAGAUUCUUCGGAAAGUAUUUUGGCAUGUUGACAUCUUCAUAUAUUUCCUCAUCAGAGUUAUCAAGCUUGAUAAGAUCAGAGGGUUUAUAAUCAUCUGACUUGUAAAAAAGGAUCCCUUUCUUUAUUCUUUCUUUUCCUUUGACUUUCUCAACUUGAGGAGGUACAAAGAAGGUUUUUAGAUCAUUCACUUUUGUUGGCUCACUUAUGUGAAGAGAUUUUAUAUGUCCAUAUGGAACUCUAGUAAUAUUUAAGGAAUCCUCAAUCAAUUCAGGAGUUCUUAUGAACAUAUUUGACUCAGAUGUCGAGAAAAUCUCUUCAUCUUCUGAUGAGUCUUCACCCCAGGGGAUGUUUAACUUGAAAGAAAAUGUUUCCAACAUUUUCCUUAAUUGUUCUUCAUCAUCGGAAUCUUCUGAAUCACUUCCGAAGUGUGGAAUCACAUUUUCUUUAUUAUCCUCAAUUUUUAUCUUUCCCUUUGACAAUUUUUUAUCGCUCUGAACUUUACCCUCUUCGAGUUCGCGAGACAAUUUUAUAUCUUUUUCAGAUUCUGCAAAAUACCUCGCAUCUUCAUAUCGUACUUCAUGCACUCCAAAUGGGCGUAUAUCACCAUCAAUUCUGAAUUCUUCUCCAUCCUUAAUAUAUUUCAUACAUUGAUGAAGAGUAGAGGGGACAACAUUAUACUCGUGCAACCAAGGCCGUCCCAAUAAUGCUUUAUACGAAGUAUCUGCAUUUAUCACAUAGAACUUUACAUCGGUCCGCAAUGCUCCAAAUUUUAUAGGAAGAAUGAUCGACCCGAGAGCUUUUUGGCUAUGCUGAUUAAAGCCUUGAAUCAAAAUUUUUUCUGAGGACAGAUGAUCGACAUUCAGAGCUAAACUUUUCAAAGUUCUUAAAGUCAAAAUGUUGACUGAGGAUCCAGGAUCGAUUAGAAUACGAUUAAUCUUCUCUCCAUCGCUUGUCCCAGUCACAUAUAACGGCCUAUUGUGAUGAGCAGUUCCCAACAGCAUGUCCUCAUCAGUGAAAGUAACAUUGGCGAUAUGUCUGGAGUACAAUGCUUCUUUCAUAUUCAUCUCAGCAAAAUACGCAUAAAAGGGCUCGGGGUUUUGUAAAGCGUAAAUGAGUACAUCCCGAAGUUCUCUGGACAUCAUCAGGGCGUCAUACACACUCAACAAGGCUGGCACUUUUCUUAAAUGGGAAAGUAUGUUAUACUCAAUCUUUGAUAACUUUCCUUGAUUUGAUGAAGUCGGUGCCUCUUCAUUUAUCUGAAUUUCUUUAUCUUUACCAUUUUGCGGCUGCCCUUGUCUUUCUGGUAACACCUUUCCAGACUUAAGCUUAAUUUGGAAAGAAUCCUCAGCUCGUUCAUCUUCCUUGGUAUUAGAAUCGACACCACAGGUAAUAGUUUGGCACGUUUCGACUCUAGUCUUUUCAUAAGUAUUCAACUUAUCAAGUAUCUCUUUUAAUUGCUCUUUCAUAUUUUUUAUUGCCAUAGCCACACAGUCUAUGUUUGUUGCUAGAGUGCGUACAUCAAUCUGCACUCUCCUCAAAUCAUUGUCUAUCUCGAGAAGACGAUAUUCGACUCUCCUUGCACCGUUAUCCCUGCUGGGGGUAUUGUAUGCUAUCCAAGCACUAUCACUAUCUUCACAUGCCAUAGCAGGUUGUUUAACCAUAUUCCUUUGAUUUAUGGAGUCUUCAGAUUGCUCUUCGGAGACUAUUAUUACCCGACACGACUCCUUGAACUGUAAUUUAUUUUUUCUAUGGUCCCGAAGUUUCACGCAUACAUCGUAUGCAUGACCUCUCAUUCCACACCAAAAACAACGCAAUUUCAUAUCAUCCAAAGCAUCAUAACAUGCUUUUCUGAAUUCUUCUGGAGUAAUGGAUUGUUGUUUCUCAAAUCAUGGGAGAUGUUUCUUCCAUCGUUGUUUUUCGGAUUCGGCAACCGUCGGUUGAUCGAUCUUUGGCUUCACCUUGUGCAUAGGCAAAUUCUUCAUGUUUUUCCAUUGGCGGCAAUUUUUCAGGGUGUGUCCCCAUAUGUUAUGAUAGGCACAGAAUUCUGUCAACGUAACUUUAUUCUUUUCUUCGUUAUUCCCUUUAAUUAGAGCUUUAUUAUUUUGGUGAACCUCUGAUUGAUGGGUUAGGGUUGUAUUCUUCUUCUUUUUUAGUAAAGAUGACCUUGCAUUUCCUCUCAUCGACAUUCUUUUAAGCUCUCGAGCAAUUAUGUGUGCUUCAUAGAAACUUGCGUCGUAUUCGGCUUUUGUUGACUUUGAUUGCUCCGAGCCUUGCUUCUUAUCAUCUUCCUUUAAAUCAGCUUGCAUAGUUGUGACUCGACAAGUCUCGACCCGAUAUCUUUUCGACGCUUCAGUAACAUCGGUUUUGAGCAUAUCUAUGAUAGUUCUCAUUUGAAUAUCUAUGCCUUUUAUACCACCGAUUAUUUCGUUCACGUUCAUCUUCAUAACGUUAAUUUCAUUGUGCAGCCUCCUCAUUUCUCCCUCCAUUCUGAUUAAGCGACACUCCAUCCUAUACAAUUUUUUCAUUGGAUCAUGAUAAGUUAAAGUGUCGUAUAAUUCCAAAGGAUCAACAUAAGCAUUAUAGUUUGGUGUGGAUGUCUGUUGAUUUGCUCUCAGGGUCGGCGCAGGUCUUUUUAACACGUCAUCAGAUGUUGUAAUGAUACGGCAUGAUUCCCGUAAGUAAGGAAUAGUCUUGUGCUUAUUUUCCUCCUGGAUUUUCAAAGUUGUGCUUAUGACACUUUGCCUGAUGCUUGCCCUUUGAGAAAACUGGCAUUUUGGUCUUCUUAUAUGUUGAAAAGUGCGAUAGUUUUCUAGGUUAUGUCCUUUCACUUGAUGAAAAGGGCAAUACAUAGGUGUAUUUUUGCUGUCAGAAUACUGAGAAUUAACGCCUCCCGUCGGCGUCGUUCUCGAACAUUCCCCUUUGUUAAAUUUUUUAUUGACUCCACCCUUAUUUUUGAUUUCUAUAAGGGGAGUUUUUCCUUUAUCUUUUUGAGAAGUUUCAGGUGAAUGCUGAUUUGAAGAUCCACUUGUAGGCUCGAUAUCUCGUUCUCUGUUAUUUUGCGACUGAGUCUGUUGAGGGAGAGGAGUAAUCUUCAUUAAUUGUUCUCUCUGGCUUCGAUCCCGAUCAACAUAGAGAACAUUACAUUCAGUUGUGCUUUCAUAUCCAAUAUUUUAUCAUUCACCUUGUGAAAGCUGCAGCGUGUCAUUUCUUUUAUUUCUGCCAAUUGGUUAUGAAAUUCUCUGAGGUUCCCUUCUUGUUCCCUAACGUGGCUAGAAGGAAAGAUAAUUUCCUCAUCAUCACGUUGUGCGGUGAUGACUUUGCAAGUCUCUCCCUAAAAAGGCUCUUCUUUUUCUUUACACUCCUCGACAGGAAUUUCUCUUUCAUCAGAGCCCUUCUUUUUCUUAGCCUCUUCUAUUGCUUUAAAAAUAAAAUCAUGAAUCAUAAGAGGCUCUCUUUCAACUUGUUUAUAUUCUUCCAUUGAGUCGAUAUGUUCCUCAAUAGGCCGCUUCUUAUGUUGUGGUUGAGCCGGCUCAACAAUUUUUUUAUUCUUCUUUACCCGAGUUAUUCUGCGCCUUGACUUGGCUGAAGUAUUAAUUGGAGGUGUGGGCUUAUCCUUAGAUUGCACUUCUGGGUUUAAGGGGUCUCGCCAUUUUAUUUCUGGAACAUCUUUUAAAUAUUUUAACAUCUUCCGAUUUUUCUUAGAUAAAAAUAUAUUCCAAAACUCGGGGGGAAAUGCAUUCUCAAUUUCUUCCAUAUUUUUGGUAUCAAUCAGAUUGGUCUUUUCGACUGGAGCUUCUGAUAACACUGAUUGUGAAAGAGUGAUUGCGCCGCUCCUAUAUUGUUUUUCAACCCAGCCUUUGAAAACCCAGCAGUCUUCAGUUGGAUGGCUGAUUAAUCUAUGAUAUAGGCAAUAGUUCGGAUCACUGGUUUUCCCUACAUCCUCUGGCUUCUUUGGCUCGGGCAGUUGAAGACCAUUUUUAACGGCAUCAUUAAAUAUUUUCUUAACCUUUUCCCGUUUGAAAGGGUACACUUUGUUUCUUCGCUCCUCUAAAGAAAGCCCUUUGGAUUAUUGCCCCUAACACAGGUUUUACAGGGGUCUGUUCAACUGUAGAGGUAAUUGCCUUCUUUCCUUUCUCUAUCAUAUUCGUGCGGGCCGGUCUGGCUUGUGCCAACUUCGCCUCAACUCUUUUGUUAUCAUCUUUUUUUAUCUUUUGUAAGUUUAAGAGGACCUGGGGAUUGGUUCUCUCCAAUCUAGAAAUAUUUGAUAUUAAUUCAUGAAAAGUGGAACAACUAGAUGUGCAGAGAAAAGGGGCCAUCCAAUUAUCAAUAUUGCCCAUGACAAGACCAACGGCUUGAGACUGGUCUAGAGGUUGCUCACACCUUAUACUUAAGUUCCGCCAUCUUGUAAUGUAAUCUAGCAUUGUUUCAUCUUUUCUUCGUCUGGUGGCUACCAGAUCAGCGAUAGUAAUCUUAUCGCUAACGGUGGCGAAUUUUGCUCUGAAAGCUUCUUCCAUGUCGGCCCAAGUUUUAAUGGACUCAUCUUCGAGGGAGUAGUACCAUUCAAAAGCUAUACCUGAUAAGCUUUGUGGAAAUUAUCGCAAGAGUAGAGGUCCGUUACUCCCCGUAUUUCCACACAUGGCCUUAAAAUGUGCUAUAUGCUGAUCAGGGUUACCAACACCAUAGAACAUCUUGAACUUAGGGACCUGAUACCCUUCUGGAAAAGGUACGUUAUCGUAUUCCGAUAGGUAAGGGUGUCCUUUCCCUUUCAGUUUUGGAUGUGCCCCUGCUACCGUCUCGUUAACUUGCGAAGUGAUCAAAUCAUGAAUUUCUUCCUUAGUCAAAGAGGUAGUCUCUUUAAGAACAGUUGUUUUAGCCUGUUCAUCAAUGACUUGUGGUAUGUGUGCUUCCGGCUGGGUUAGAAUCUUGGUUUGACGCCGUUGAUCCCCCAAUUGCUUCUGCACAUUCAACAUCAAACUCAUGACCUCCUCCAUCUUCUUAUAGAGAUUUAUGAUAUCUCUAUCCUUUUCAUCAACUUUCUUUUUCAAGGAUGCAAUCAUAACAUCCUUUGGAUCCCUUGAGAAGUAGACAACCUCCUCUUCCUCUCGGGGGUCAGAUGGAUCACUAGGCAUAUCAUCUUUAUUCUCCAUAUUUUGUGUUUGCGAAGAGCUUGCUUCCUUAGCUCUUGCUUUCUCUUCCGCGGCUUUUCUUGCAGCAGCUCUUGUAAGGAUUUGCUGAAUAGUUUCUUCUUCAUAAGCGGCCUCACUUGACGGCGUGUGUCCAAUAACUCUCACAGUGUGAAUCUCCAAAUUCUCUAUUUUAGAUUUUUCUUCUUUAAUCUAAGCAAGAGUUUUAGGCUUCCACUCUGUCUUUCUUCCUUCCCAUGAUAGUGUUGACUUUCGUUGCCACUUCGGCUUCUCAAUUUUCUUCUCUAGGUUCAUUCUUCCUUUUGCAGCCUUAAAAGUUUUAUAUAUCUGCUUGAAGACAGAGUUCUUGUCAUUGUUUCUCAAGCAAGGACAUGCAAAAGAAGGUUUUAAAUGGGCCAUUUCUGACUCGGGGCGCAGAAUGGCAGUAGGUGAGUUUUUUCUCACAAAUCUCAAGGGUGCAUAGCGGUUACGGGCCAAAACGUCGGGCCCGGCGACAAACCUAUUAAGUUGGGUUUGUUGAGACUUGUUUUCUUUGUUCAUCUCCUGCCGCUUCAAAGUACGACGAAGAUUUCUCUUGAAUGACUUGGUCACAGUAUCCUUGGGGAACGUCAGCCUAUUGAAGACUGACGCUUUAGGUGCCAUAUCAAGUGGCGAUGUUUCGUCAAUUCGGUUUUGGAACACCAGUCUUCCUUGUAAUUCCAUUUUCUUUGAAGCACUAAUAGAAGUCAUCCUCUCCUUCACAGGAGGGCGAGGGUGGUUGGGAAUGACGACAUCCGGACGCCUCCCACGAAAGGGAAGACGUGGAACAUCAUUCGUGCCUGUAAUAACAUUGAAAGGGGCCAUAGCUGCAGCUCUAGCCUCUUCUGGGAUGGUGCCAAACUGGAUCGCAGCACCAGCGGCUCCAAUGGUGAGGACAGAUGCCGGUAGGCAAACCUGACCUGCAUUGAUCAUCAUCGAACCUGUAGCAGUAGUAGCGUCCUUCAGUGCCAUUUCUCCUGCAAGAGAUAAUGACUGUAGAUUAAAUAUAUAUCAUUCAAUUCUAUUAGCAUAACAUUGGUCUCAAAGAUGGAAGGAGAAGCCAGGUCCCACCGGGCGUGCCAUUUUGUCUGCGGCCACGAAUGACGUACCUUGCACGGUUAAUCUUAUUUCUAUUUUCCGUGAGGUAGUAUUCAUGAUUCAGAUUAACAUUUAAUUAUAUAUGGUUAUCAGGUAUUGUGGAUUCAUGGCUUCCAAUAAACGCAAGCGUUUAUUGUUAAUUACCCCUACAAAAUGUUAGGGCACCUUCGAUCAAGAGGCCUCUGUAAUGCUGAAAUAGACUGAAAUUAUAUAAAAGAUGAAUUUUAUAACAUAAUUCACUAUACAAUUACAUAGCAUAACCAGGGACAUACCCCCAGUGUACAUGAAUAAAAGAGAAAAUGAUUAGUUCAACGACAUGAGUUUGACGGUCGAUUGAACUUAAUUUGGAUUACACCUAUAAUUUUAAGGGGUUAAUCCAAUUAGAUUUAACUAAAUCCUAGUUGCAUGUAUUAGGAUUUAGUUGGGUUUGAAUUGAUUGGACUCUAAUUGUAUGUGUCAAAGUCCAAUCAGAUUUAAGUUCACCAUAAGGUGAGGAAUAGCUAAAUCUACAUGUAUUAGAAUUAGCCGAUUUGAUUUAGAUUAACUCUAAUUAUACAUAUUAGAGUCUAAUUAAUUUAAUUGAACUCUAAGUAUGUAUAUUAGAGUCAAACCAUAUUUGAGUUCACUCUAAGGUGAAGGAUGGCUAAAUACUAAAUAUAUGUAUUAGGAUUAGCCAAAAUUGAUUUAAAUUAAACUCUAAUUAUACAUAUUAGAGUCUAACUUGGUUUCCUUUGUUUGAACUCUAAGUAUAUGAAUUAGAGUCCAAUCGACUUAAUUUGAUUAGGUGAAACCUAAUUCAUUAUUUUUACCUUAGUCAUAUAUACAAAGAUAAAAAGAUGGUUUGAUCAAUUCUAAGCAUAUAUUUAGAAUUUGAUCGAGUUUGAAUAUGGUUGUGAUUGGAAUAGUUUGUUUCUAAGGACCCGGUAUGGAGGUUGGAUUAGGUUGUGCAUGACUUGGGUUUGAGGUUAGGUUUGGACUUUGAUUUGGUUAUUAUGGUAUAGGUUUCAUAUAUGGCUUGUCAAAUUUGGAUUGGAUUGGAAUUAAAGAUUGGGUUCAGCUAGCUUGGACCAAUCCGAAUUAAAUAAUUGGGUUGGGUUUAUAUUUAGUCUUGGACAUGAACUUGGGCUCAUUCGGAGAUAUAAUUAGGCUGAGUUUAUAUUUGGCCUUGGAUAUGAACUUAGGCCCAUUCGGAGAUAUAAUUGGGCGGGGUUUAUAUUUGGUGUUGGACAUGAACUUGGGCUCAUUCGGAGAUAUAAUUGGGCUGGGUUUAUAUUUGGUGUUGGACAUGAACUUGGGCUCAUUCGGAGAUAUAAUUGGGCUGGGUUUAUAUUUGAUCUUGAACAUGAAUCUGGGCCCAUUCGGAGAUAUAAUUGUGCUAGGUUUCUAUUUGGUCUUGGACAUGAACUUAGGCCCAUUCGGAGAUAUAAUUGGAUUGGGUUUAUAUUUAGUCUUGGACAUGAACUUGGGCCCAUUCGGAGAUAUAACUGGGCUGGGUUUAUAUUUGGUGGUGGACAUGAACUUGGGCCCAUCUAGAGAUAUAAUUGGACUGGGUUUAUAUUUGGUGGUGGACAUGAACUUGGGCUCAUUCGGAGAUAUAAUUGUGCUGGGUUUACAGUGUUAAGAUUAGGCCCGUACAGCUCAUUCAAACUUGAGAUUUCAACAGAAAAUUUCAAAGACACUCUGAAAUCACGUUUUAAAUUUGAGUUUCAAAUCCAUAGAUAAAUCCUCAUUUAGUGUGUGUGUGUAUAUAUAUAUAUAUAUAUAUAUAUAUAUAGUAUUUGAAAAGAGUUAAAAAAUUCAAGAUAAUUUAUGUUUUGAAUUUUUAAUUCAAAACAUAAUGAACAAAUGAAUAAACAAAUAUUUUCUUUCUUCCGUCUCCCAUCUUUGAGUAACAAUAAUAAUAAUUCCUCGCCUCCUUUUUGCAAUAUUUAUCAAUAUGAGCAUUAAUUAAUAUAGUUGGCAACAGCGCAGUGUUCAUGGCGAUCACCAAAUUAAACUGAUUAUGUACAUAUAUGUCUCUUUUUUUUUUUUUUAACGACAAAAAGUUCCGAUCCUCAAUCGUCGUCGUAGAAUGCAUGAAAGACUUCAAAGCAGAAUCAGACUUGGAAAUUAAGCCGAAUCCGCAAAGCACCAAAAUAAUUACUUUAUCAAUACAGGCUGCGGCUUCAUCAUAAUUAAUUGCCGAAUCCAUCAAGCACCAAAGCAAUUACUUUAUCCAUAUAGGCUGCGGCUUCAUCAUAAUUAAUUGCCGAAUCCAUCAAGCACCAAAGCAAUUACUUUAUCAAUAUAAGCUACAGCCACAUAUCUAUUCAUCAUAAUUAAUGUACAUCUCCUUAAUUUGCAUGCAUGUGAGGGAGCUUGUUCACGUAAUACACAUGUUAUUUUGCGCGGUAGAUGAGUGGAGGCCGUUCUUCUCUUCUGCCGACGGCUAAGCGCCAAACGGAAGAUCGCCGGCUUCACGUCUUCUCCGUCAUGGUUGUCGAUGUGCCGUUAAUUCCGUCGACGGCUAAGCGCCGAACGGAAGAUUGUCGGCUUCACAUCAUCUCCGUCGUGGUUGUCGAUGCGCCGUUAAUUCCACCGACGGCUAAGCGUCGGUGAAUGAAGCUCCGCCAUGGUCGUCGAUACGCCGUUACUUCCGUCGACGGCUAAGCGCCAAACGGAAGGUCGUCAGCUUCACGUCGUCUCCGUCGUGGUUGUCGACACGCCGUUAAUUCCGCCGAUGGCUAAGCGCCGGCGAAUGAAGCUCCGCCGUUGUUGUCGAUACGCCGUUAAUUCCGCCAUGGUCGUCGAUGCGCCGUUAAUUCCGCCGACGGCUAAGCGCCGGCGAAUGAAGCUCCGCCGUUGUUGUCGAUACGCCGUUAAUUCCGCCAUGGUCGUCGAUGCGUCGUUAAUUCCACCGACGACUAAGCGCCGGCGAAUGAAGCCCCGCCGUUAUUGUCGAUACGCCGUUCAUUCCGCCAUGGUCGUCGAUGCGCCGUUAAUUCCGCCGACGGCUAAGCGCCGGCGAAUGAAGCUCCGCCGUUGUUGCCGAUGUAGAGAUGGACGGAGGCUAUUCUUCUCUUCCGCCGACGGCUAAGCGCCAAACGGAGGAUCGUCGGCUUCACAUCAUUUCCGCCAUGGUUGCCGAUGAAGCUUCGCCGUUGAUGUAGGGAUGGAGGGAGGACGCGAGUAUUAUUAUUAUUAUUAUUUUUUUGUAAGGAGGAGAAGAAAGAAAAUAUCAUUCGUCUUUUUUUUAAUGGAUGGAUAUCUCUACCUUUUUUUUUUGAACGAACCUUGUUUUUCUCUCCUUUUUUGCCUAAACAGUUGAUCUCUAACAACCUCUAAAAAAAUUCUCCAACAAUCUCUAACAACCUCUAAAAAUUCUCCUCCUUUUGUUUUUCAUAUCAUUUCCCCUUUUAUAGGUUUUCUAGUUAGUUAGUAGAUGGGAGAGUUUUUUUUUUUUAGUGGGUUAGUGGGUUAAUGGGAGAGAUUUUAGUGGGUUAGUGGGAAGGUGGGAAGGCUUUUUUUUUAUAUUAUUAUUUUUUGAUGUGGGGGUGAAUGGGAAGUUAGGAUUUUUUUU
rnacentral:lncRNA from 1 species